UCUGUCCGAAAAUACUUGUCAUUAAAAUGGAUGUAUCUAGAUGUAUUUUAGUUCUAGACACAUCCAUUUUGAUGACAAGUAAUUCCGGACGGAGGGAGUACUUG
rnacentral:pre_miRNA from 1 species